rnacentral:rRNA from 1 species
GUCAGAACAUGGGUGAUAAGGUCCGUGUUCGAAAGGGAAACAGCCCAGACCACCAGCUAAGGUCCCAAAAUAUAUGUUAAGUGGAAAAGGAUGUGGCGUUGCCCAGACAACUAGGAUGUUGGCUUAGAAGCAGCCAUCAUUUAAAGAGUGCGUAAUAGCUCACUAGUCGAGUGACACUGCGCCGAAAAUGUACCGGGGCUAAACAUAUUACCGAAGCUGUGGAUUGUCCUUUGGACAAUGGUAGGAGAGCGUUCUAAGGGCGUUGAAGCAUGAUCGUAAGGACAUGUGGAGCGCUUAGAAGUGAGAAUGCCGGUGUGAGUAGCGAAAGACGGGUGAGAAUCCCGUCCACCGAUUGACUAAGGUUUCCAGAGGAAGGCUCGUCCGCUCUGGGUUAGUCGGGUCCUAAGCUGAGGCCGACAGGCGUAGGCGAUGGAUAACAGGUUGAUAUUCCUGUACCACCUAUAAUCGUUUUA